UCCCCCUUUUUCACGUGGAAGCCAUCUGGGAGAACAUCAUCUGUCUCAGCACAUCUUCCAUCCUGUUGUGCAGAAGUGUGAAAGAUCAAAGUUAGCAUGUAUUGUUAGGGGUUUGAACUCCAAUUCGUACAAGUGAACAGUAAAUUACCAGCGGGACUGCAGGAUACAGCCUCAAAGUCUCUGUGAGUGUGGCAUGAAGGUAGUGCAUUCGACCAAGCACCGGAUCAGUAAUUCUUUCCACGAAUUCAUCUGGGUUAGCUUCACUUGCCUGAUCUCCAGUCACUUCCUUUAUUUCAUCGACAAUCUUUUGC